CUCCCACCCCCACCCCUGUCAUGUGAGUUUUUGCUCUUAUCGGUCAGUGGUCAGUCUCCUUCCUGUGAUGGAAGCUCCCGCUCAGGGAGACCUCAGCCUCAGUCCACCAGCCAAGCAGAACCCCUCCAACACUUAGCUAUGCGUCGCGUGCUCAGACUCAAUUGUCCUGCUUCCUUCAGCCCCGGUCUUGCUGGUCACUCAUUUCCUUGGUCAUUAAUCAUGCUGGUCUCCAGUGGUGACUUAUUUUCCCUCCCCAGCUCAUUUGCCUACAGAAAUGCUUUGCUUUGUUGAGAGAGAGAGAGAGAAAAAAAAGCAACAACCCACAAACGCUUCCUGGAGCUAGCUCUUUUCUUUCCUCUCUCCCCUCCCUGACCUCAGAGAAGGGUCCAGGAUCGGCUCUGAGACAGAGAAAGAGGUCCUGGGCCACAAUGAGGCCAGCCUCAGUUUACACACACACACACACACACACACACACACACACACACACACACACACCAGCAAUCAAAACAAGUAAUCCAGGGGCUCAUGAAAGAGUUUUGGGAGUUCUGGCUGGGGGUGGUCAGAGCAAUGUCUACACUGGAGCUUCUGAGUCCACCCCACCCACUUCUGCCCUGCCAGCUAGGAUGUUGUAUAAGCUAAUGAGUUCUGGCUCCUCCAAUAGAAUAGAACUUGUCAUGUGGCCUUUCCCAGGCAGAUAUCAAAGUGCAGGAAGUGACUCAUUGCUGAGCCACCAGGGAAGAAGCAAUGUGGGAGGGGCUCCCUUAAGGGACAGGCUGUGGGGAGGAGGGACCGGCAGUAAAAAUGGCCAGCCUGCAGCUACUCAUUCCCACAGUCAAGACCUCCCACUGCAGCCCAGGCUAGCCCCGGGAGAUGAUGGUUAAGCUUCUCGAAGCAGCCAAGAGGAAUGAUGUCUUCCAGAUCUGGGUGCAAGCCAGCCCAGGAGCAGUGAUGUCUCUGAGACUUGGGGCUUCCAUCUGAGGAGUGGGGUAACAGUGUUCCUGGCUUCCAGCAGGGUGCUACAAAUAGAGCACUCUGCAGUGCCUGGCACCUAGGAUGCGCCCCAUAAAUACUUGCUAUUAUUUAUUAUUGCUAUUAUCAGGAGCUCUUGCAUUAACACUGGAAGCAAGCAAUUGAGGGAGACAGCAUGCUAGGGGUGGCCUUGAAUCGACUGUUUUUUCAGAAGUAAAUUAUGUGCUAAAUCUGGUCUUCUGUCACCGCCAGUAAGUGUGACACAGAAACCCCUCAUGGCCACAGGAGCCGGCACAGAGCCCAGAACCAGAACUGAAAGCUGAGCAGCGUAUCCUAGGCCACUGGGCCCCCAGGCACUGGGUGUCACAGCUGCAAAGACAACACUCCACCCUGCGCUCCUAGAGCCCUCCGCUCAGCAAGGCCCCAGGCUGGUCUUUGAUGGGACCGGAUAUUCGGAUAUUUGACAAAAGCCCUAGUACCCAGCUCAAGUGCAGCGGCAGGACCAGUCCUGACCUGGGAGUCUGCAAGCACCCCUGACUGUUCUGACCCUGAGCUGCCCCUCCCACCCUGCAUCUGAGACCCAGGUUUGAGCCAGGAACUCCUGGACUCCAGAGCUCAGGCGGGACGGAGGUAAGAAACUAGGCACAGAGGCUGUCUGAAGUUCGACUAUUGCUGUAGCUGUGCAUUGAUUUGAGGUACGGAUCUGAUGCCCAAAAGGUCUUUGAUUAUCACAGAGAGGCCACAAAGCUUCUAUGGAAAGAGUCCAAGCCAUAGCCUUGUCCAGAGGGGCCUCUCUUCUUGGGCUCUGUCUGAACCUCAGAUAUCAAAGUCCCAGAGUGACUUGAGCAACCAGGAGUCCAUUCGUCCCUGCCCAGAGCACAGAGGUACUAUGUGGGCAGCAGUGCCACAGGGAGACCUUUUGUGGCCCUUACUGGUGGGGGGUUUCUGCAGCAAUGGAGAACGACUGAAUGCUGGCUUUACCCCUGAGGUAGGAUCAGUCAUACUCGGUCCCCUUGACAGCUCCAUGACCCUGUCUCCUUCAGAGGGGAGACGGAGCCUAUGAUUUAAGGUCCUUUCCAAUAGAAGCAGCUGAGAGAGAAGCAGAAACUUCAGAGGCAGGAGGAGGUGUGGCCCUGAGAGGGGACACCUGAGGUGGGUAGGCAUGACUUCACCCGCUCAGCAUUGCCUAGCCUGCUUGUAGACAGAGCUGCCCCUUUCCUUCUUCAGCAUAGCCUAGUCAUGGGGAUGACCGAGGCUUUGCCAUUUUACCAGUGGGCCUUUGUUGGCUGAAAGAGACCUUUAGAUAUUCCAAGCAGUCAGAUGCAACAGUGGGCCGAGGCUAUUGCAUUCAAUCGGGCAGGUUGUUUACUGAACAGGGAACAGUGCUUUUGGCGGAGGAGCUGCUAGGAAAUGAAUCCAGCCUCACUGAACUGCCAACCCCGGGCUUUCCAGGAUGGGACUGAAUCUGCCCAGAACAUAAAGACAUCGUGUGGACCAGUGGGACAUGGGACCAGUGAGCGGCAGAGAAAAAUCGAUAGACUACAAGCGUGCGUGGAGUGCCUGGAAGAUAAGCUUUGGGACAAGGGGAGCAGAGUGCUUUCUUCAUAAUAGCAGUGGGGAUGGAGAGGGCUCAGGGUGUCUAGUCGGGAGGGAGGGAUGUGUGUGACAGCCACUUGUGGACCUUGGCGUUUAAAUCUGUCCCCUCUUGCUGGCCUGAUUUCUCAGGUCACCCAGUGCCUGCCCUGGCGAUUGGCCCUCACGGCCUUCAAUGAUUCCUGUUCAUCUCCCUCCACCGGAUCAAUCACAGACCCACAAACCCUUCUUCAGUGCAAAGCCUGUGAAUGUGCAGCUUAGGUCCAAGCCUGGCUCCAUCCCCACACUUGUCUCUGCUCAGCAUCCCUUCCAGACUUCCAUUUCCAAGCAUGGUCCUGCCUGUGCUGCCGGGGCCAGCCCGCCCCUCUGGAUGGUGCAGCCUGGAGUCAUACACAAGCACCUGCAGAUUCCCCUACCCCCCACCUCCUCUCUGAAGGAGCCCAGAUAAAACAGAGCUAAUCCACCCCGGGAGAAGGGCUCUGUGCCUGCGGGGACCCAGGCACAAAUUGGGAUGUCCUGCCGCAUUACUUCUGCUGAGCUGGACAUCAACAUCUCACCUCCGCACCCAGGCAAGCCGGGGACAGCCAAGGGAGUGGAAAGGCGGUGGGGGAAGGGACCAAGCAGCCACCAGGCCUCCAUCAAAGGCGAUGGAGAGAGAGCAGCCCAGCCAGAGAGGAUUUUUAAUGACCCCAAAUCCUGGCACCUCAUUAUGACUCUGAUAAGGUGAUGGGGCUGUCACUUCCAGAUGCAGCCAAGGGCUCCCCAGAGAAAUUUUCCUGCCUUCCUGCUAAUCUUCUUAUAAACAUUGUUAUUUAUUUUCCCUUAUUUUAUCCGACAUGUGUCAAGCAGCCCCUGCUAAGCCUGUGACAUCUCCAGGGAGACCAGAGGAGGUUGGCCUGUCACUCCCCCAGUCCUGCCCCCUUCCCAGGCCCUAUUCUCUAGCCCAACACAUGGGGGCCUGGACGGAUAAUUUUCCGAUGUCUCUAAGAGUUUGGACUGGGCCAGAACUGGGCAACUGGGAUCUAGGUGUUGAGUUAGCAGGUCACAGGCCAUGCCAACCGGGGCUGGUUCCAAAGGAAAUGUGUGUGUGUCGUGGACAGUAUAGUUCGUCAACCAGCUGCUCUUGAAGCCUCAAGCUUGCUCUGGGUGUUCUUGGCUAAUACCCAGAGUGGCCAUCGAUGUGUGUGGCUCUGACAGAGGCUGCCCUGUCUUAGGCACUGUAGUAAGCAUUCCAGUCUCCCGUUGUUCCUCAGCAAGGAAAGCAAAGGCCAGGGAGGGGAGACUGUACACGCAGGCUUGGCAGCCCAGGCUGCAGAGGGGCUGCUCUGCUCACUCUGGCUUUUUCUCUGGUGCUCGAUGCAGGGCCAGUGUUGUGUUUCCUUCACAAUUCCCAGGGACCAUCUCCCUCCAACCCUCCAUGAACCCAGGACAGGAGUAAAGCCCAGUAUCUGCAUUCUACCUUUAGUGCAUGGAAACAGGCCAAGAAGAGAAGGUGAUUCUGACAGAAUUAGCCUUCCCCGUGACUAACGCUCACCGAGUUUUAGGGAGCCUCCUCACAAAGGAUCUGGCACCCCAUUCUACAGAUGAAGCAACUGAGGCCUUUAGAGAUGUGCCAUCCACCCAUAGUCACAAGGCAUCAGCGACAGAGCAGCCUGGACCCUGUGACCACAGUCCCCACACAGCCAGAGUCACAAGAAAUUGCCAUGACUUCUGGCCUUCACCUAUGUUCACCCUCUCCAGUUCAAAAACGGGGACACUGCCAAGGAAAAGGUGCUGUGCCUUUUACGCACCUUUAUGACAACACCCAUGCUUCUGAUACCCUCUCUCCAGGCUCAAGAGUCUCUGAGGCUGCUUAGAAGUAAAGGAAAAUGUCAAGAAUAUUAAAUUCAUAAUUGAGUAAGACCUGGGGAAAAUCGUUAAGUCAGUUUCGUAUUUCCCAAGUGGUUCAUCGACAUUUUGAAGACAUGUCAAAUUCUUUGGCCUGAACUUUCUCUGUGUGCAGAUAAAGAGAGAGAUGUCUAGCUGGGCGUGGUGGUGUAUGUCUCCAAUCCCAGCGCUUGGGGAAGCUGAGGCAGGAGCAUUGCGUGGAGUUCAAGGUCAGCCUGGGGGCUACAGAGUGAGGGUAUGGGAUAACUGUACCAAGGCCGACUGGGAGGAGCACUGUAGUGCCAGCGAUAGAGUCUGACACCCUGUCACACCAUGAUGUUGGGAGGGUCAUCCCAGGCUAAGAAUCCAAGACACAGGUGAGCUUUCACAGAUGUGUGCGGUUGCAGGGGUCAAGGAAUCUGCUCACUUGACUGUGCCUCGUGCCAAUUCCCUUGCAGAUACAGAGGCCUAGGUACCUUUGUAGCAUAAAAUUGUAUUCUUGAGGUUGACCUCAAACUCGGGAUCCUCUUGCUGCAGCUUCCUGGAUGCUGGGACUCCGGGUAUGUGCAGACCCCACAGUAAGGAUGGCUUUGAGCAGAGUCUGUGGAAGGCACUGAAUACAAUGAGUGAGACCCUGAGGCUAAGCCCUUGCACAGCCUCCAAAGGCUCCCAAGGAGUUUAUUGUCACCAUGGAGAUUCCAGUGCAAGUCUACAACUUCAGGAGGCAAAAGAAGUGUGAGCCUGCACUGCGUGAUGUCUGGACUUAGCAGCCAGCUUCUAAGAAAGGACAGUGGGGAGGAACUCCAUAAUCCCACGGUGGAGGAACCUAGAGGGUGUCAUCACACAGGUCCUCAAGGGCAAGUCUUCUCUAUGGUGGAUCCAUGAUGGAAUAGCAAUGCCUGAGGGGGGGGGAAUCUCUGUCUGGAAAUAUUAUAUAACUGGCAUCACAGCGUGUUGCUUUUCAGACUGUGUUCUUUUUGUUUUUUGUUUUUAAAAGAUUUAUUUAUUAUAUGUAAGUAUACUGUUUCUGUCUUCAGACACACCAGAAGAGGCAUCAGAUCUCAUUACAGAUGGUUGUGAGCCACCAUGUGGUUGCUGGGAUUUGAACUCAGGACCUUCAGAAGAGCAGUCAGUGCUCUUAACUGCUGAGCCAUCUCUCCAGCCCCCAGACUGUAUUCUUUCUCUCAUCCAUAUUCAUUUAAGUUUCCGCUUUGAUUUAGUUUUUAAAAGCUAAAUGGUUUACUAUUCUUUUGUCUUUGUGCACCAAAGCUUAUCAGUUCCCCUACUAAAGGUCAUAUUGAUUGCUUAAAAGUUUGGGCAGUUAUAAAUAAAGCUGCUUUGUAUCUCUUUCUCUGCA